GUCGCCUCCAGCCAAGGGUCUGCGCGCCCCCUCCUCCUCUCAGGCUCCUCUGGCCUCGCCCCUCCCUCUCACGUUCCCAACUCCCAAGGACAACUUGUCGCUCGCUUCAGAAGCCCGGGGCUUCGUUCUGUCCCCCAGACUCUUUCUCCCCUACUUCUUUUGUCUAUUUCUGCAUUUGACGGCUUCUCUGGGAAGCGUUCCCCGGAUCUCCUUCUCUCUUGUCCGUUCUCGCUCGCUCUCUCUAGCUCUCACUCUCUCUCUCUCUUACACACACACACACACACACACACACACACACACACACAGUCUCUCCUCUGUCUGCCGGCCAUCUCGGCGCCUUUCCUCCGCGCCUCUGGCCUUCCAGAGGGCUCAAGGCCCACUCUUGGAACCGCCGCGCGGUGAUCCGACGGCGCCCCAGCGAGGGGGCAGGUGAGACCGGCGGGAGCCCCGCCCGGGCGGACGCGGAGGAAGGUGGCGCCCGCGCCAAUCCGCCGCCCGGGUCCUGUCCUCUCCCCUCUCACCCCCUCGUCGGCGCCAGGGGGACUGAGGACGCACGAGUCCCUUCGCGCCUCCAGCGCCGUCGGCGCCGGCGCCCCAGACCCAGACACUGCGGCCAGAGGCCUCACGGGGGCGGGGGGCGGCGACCCACAGCCGAUGAGCCCUUGGCCCCGGCGUCAUCACCAGCGUCCCUAGGCUCUGGAGCGCCCCAAGCCCCGGGUCCCUGCAGCCUCUGAAGACGCGCGGAGGACAGCGCGGUUCGGAGAGAGGGCGCCAAAGGCGACGCGCCGGCGGCCGGCUCCAGGCCAAGCCCAGUGCGUCUGCAGGAACCGGCCCCUUCACCAACGCGGGACACAGAGCUGCGUGAGGACUCAACGCCAGGGCGCCGCCUAGAGGUCGGCGGCGGCCUCAGCCUCACCCGCCAGCCACCGCGGAGCCGCUCCCCCAGCCCGGGGCAAAAAAAAAUUGGGGGCAAAACAUCGAGCUUAGGUCUCAGGGAUGGUGCUUCCGGCACCUCUGCCUGCUCUGAAACCCACCCCGCCAACAUAUUGAACCCUACCUAGGAAGGGAGACGGAGGAAGAAGGCCCAGGAAUAUUUAUUCUCCUUGCAACUCUAACUAAAUGGAAGGGGGUCUCAAUUUCGGUUUCUUUGAGGAUCCUGGGUUCUGCAUCUGUGUCUACACUGCCUCCUCUCAACAUCCCAUGUGCAGUCCCCUCCAGUUAUGCUAGAACUCUGCUGUAUCUUCAAGAAGGGACAAGAGUAGGGAAAAGUUACCCCUAAAUCCUGCAGCUUGAUCAUCUACAUUUUCAAUUUUCUGAAUAACUUGGGAGAUCGACGUGCUUUGGGGAGAGGAUUUGGACACUUGAGGGUGAAAAGAAACCCCGCCUCAAUGGCCUUUACUCACGGAGUGACCAUUAUGAGCUCAACCAGUGUAUGAGAAGGGUGCCUGUGGGCAGCAGCUCCCCUGUUGGACAGGAGGGGAUGUAAACCAUUUGAAGUUCAUCAACACGGUGAAGUUUUAUUGUAUUUCCGGUCCCCAAGAUUUAUACCCGGGAGGGGGAGCGGGCGGCCGGG